rnacentral:rRNA from 1 species
UACAGAGGGGGCAAGCGUUGUUCGGAAUUACUGGGCGUAAAGGGCGCGUAGGCGGCCUGUUAAGUCGAACGUGAAAUCCCCGGGCUCAACCCGGGAACUGCGUCCGAUACUGGCAGGCUUGAAUUCGGGAGAGGGAUGCGGAAUUCCAGGUGUAGCGGUGAAAUGCGUAGAUAUUGGGAGGAACACCAGUGGCGAAGGCGGCUCGCUGGACCGGUUCUGACGCUGAUGCGCGAAAGCGUGGGGAGCAAACGGG